rnacentral:lncRNA from 1 species
AGUUCGCACGUGGCGCCCGAGAAGUCGUGGUGAUCCCGAGACCUCCUCUGCUCCUGAAGCGUCCGCGGCCAGGAUGAAGAGGCCUAAGUUAAAGAAAGCGAGUAAACGUAUGACCUGCCAUAAGCGAUAUAAAAUUCAAAAAAAGGUCCGAGAACAUCAUCGAAAAUUAAGGAAGGAAGCUAAAAAACGGGGUCACAAGAAGCCUAGGAAGGACCCAGGUGUUCCAAAUAGUGCUCCCUUUAAAGAGGCUCUUCUUCGUGAAGCUGAACUAAGGAAACAGCAGCUUGAAGAACUAAAACAGCAGCAGAAACUUGAUAGGCAAAAAGAGC